rnacentral:misc_RNA from 1 species
GAUGAAGAACGUAGCGAAAUGCGAAAGUAAUGUGAAUUGCAGAAUUCAGUGAAUCAUCGAAUCUUUGAACGCACAUUGCGCCCGCCAGUAUUCUGGCGGGCAUGCCUGUUCGAGCGUCAUUACAACCCUCAGGCCCCCGGGCCUGGCGUUGGGGAUCGGCGGAGCCCCCCGUGGGCACACGCCGUCCCCCAAAUACAGUGGCGGUCCCGCCGCAGCUUCCAUCGCGUAGUAGCUAACACCUCGCGACUGGAGAGCGGCGCGGCCACGCCGUAAAACACCCAACUCUUCUGAAGUUGACCUCGAAUCAGGUAGGAAUACCCGCUGAACUUAAGCAUAUCAAUAAGCGGAGGA